rnacentral:lncRNA from 1 species
GAUUUAUAUGAUCAGCACUAAAGUACUAUGACAAAAAAAAAGCUUUGGAAAAGGUACCUUAACCGGACAUGUUCCAGAUCAAUAGGCAAAUGAGUAGCUACGUUUGAAAGAAGAUCUGUGACCUACCACAGGUAAUGGGGCAAAGGUAUAUCUGAAAUUCGUUUUUCAAUACUUCUUGGUGGCUGCCAAACAUAGAAUGCUAACAAACGCAUCUUUGCGAUACCAUCCACCCCGAGCAAUAAAAAACCCACCCUUAAUUUAACAGGAGUCACCAGUCAGCUCCUGAGGCAUAAACAGGCAGCUGAAGCACCGCGCGUAGGCUGACUUCAGUGCUGAAUGCCGAGCAGCAUUUGGCACAGGUGGAGCAGUUUUCAUCACAGACCCAAAUUAACUCCGGUGAAGUUGCUCCGCGCCUGCCAGCGCCGGAGGAACAAUCUCCGUGUGGGAGAAGCGCCCAGCGUGCCACCCGCCGGCCUCCGCUCCCGGCGCCGCUGGGCCGAACAAAGGCGGCAGCGGCGGGUCCCCUUUGUGCGGCGCGGGCCGGGGAAGGGGCGAGCCCAGCGCCACCCGGAGCUCCCCGCCCCGCCGGCCCGGCUGGGCAGCGCGUCGGGAGGAAGCGCCGGCUCUGCGCAGGGAGGGCGGCUGCCAGAAGCCCGGGCCCUCCCCCGCCCCUGUCUCCUCCCCUCCGCCGCCGAUCCUCCGCCCGCUCCGCCUUCUCCUCGCGGUGGCGGCGGUGGCUUUCUCGGCCCCGGCUCCUCGCUGUUCUCCGCGGCUUCGCCUCGCUCCUCUCCGGGGGCUCCCGCGCCGCGCUGGCCAAGACGGCUUUACUGCAGGGAGCCUCUGGGAGUUCCAGGGUGAAGAAAUCUGCCUUCAUCUGGAGACCUCUGCUGAAGGUGAAGACCUCGUAACAGGCCAGACAGCCUUGGCAGGAGUUCAGAAGUCUUACACCAAG